rnacentral:ncRNA from 1 species
CUAAUCUGCGCACCGUCGUUGCCAAAUCAGCGACCGGAUUUGACGAUCCGUUUU